rnacentral:misc_RNA from 1 species
GGAGGCUGAUAGAUAGCCCAAGGGUUCACAGCAUACCGACUCAUUCCAUCAGUACUGGGAGAGCUCUAGUCACUCUUCCUUUCCCAUCAGUGAGGCCGUCGACUUCCCUAUAUUUCUCCCGUUGAUUCUCCUUCUGCGUUCUUCUCUCACUGACGUCCAUACCUUCGUCCGUACUGGCGAUCCUAUAAGAAAUUCCGAGUCUGAAAGUCGUCACAGCAUUUGAGUAUAGAUAGCAAAGAAAUCGAUCGAAACUGUGUUGAAUUCAUGACGGAGAAAUGGGGAGGAGGAGGAGGACUCUUACAAGAUAACAUUAAUAAUAUCUAACUGUAAUUAAAUAUAGAGUUAGAAGGUAGAUUCCAAGACCUAAUAGUGGAAGUCUGUCAAGUUUCAUCUCCACUGGACGUAGAAACAAACCAUCCCGAGUACUGGAAGACCAAUGAGAAGGGCAAAAUCGGUCACCAAUCAGCCACAUUCAACGCAGUCUCUAUUGACCGUAGAAUCUCAAGGUCAAAAAACUCUUCUUUCACACAGACAGAUCAAGGUAAACGUCACAAACUUUCUUAAUUAAUUUCAGUGUAAAAACAAAACAGAAAUCAUUCCAAGUGUUAUAUAGCAUGAAUCCCACACUCACUAAACCACUAUACAAGACUAUACAAAUUAUCUCACGUAUUAAUAGAAGCUGAAGAAUGAAUCCCCGUGUGAGCUCAGACCCCAAGAGAGAUGAAAGCUAUUAACGAAAGACUUUCAAGUAUAAAAUUAAACUACAGAAAGCCUCCCAGUACAUCUUUGAGGCUACAGAAAUCAUCCCAGUGCAUCUCAACACUACAAAAAGCCUCUCAGCACAUCACUCGUAUAUCUUGAGGCUGUCAGCAAAACUCGUAACCCAGCUCCCACCCAUAAACCAGAAGGAGAGACACACGAUCCACUAUCAAGGCUCAGCUCUGAAGAGGAGAGGCAUCAAAAGAACUUAUUAUACCUCGCCCCAGCAAUAACAUGGAGCCAAAGAACGAGCCAAUCACCAGGCCAGGUCCAGGGGUCAUUACUGCUGCUGUUGAUAUAAAGGAACAGGACAGGUGGGCCGGUCCAACGCUACAAGAGAGGGACACUCAGGUAGGAGCCAUCAGCAGUGUCCUACCAGAAGGGGACAUCAAUAACGCCAGUGAUGUCCCAGUGAAAAGGGACAUUCCACAUCCAACCACGAACCUCGAGACGCUGAUCCAUGUACUGAAGGGGAACGUAGGCACAGGUCUCCUCGCUAUGCCUGAAGCCUUUAUGAACGCAGGGCUGUGGGUCGGGUUUGCUGGGAUACCUAUUAUGGGUGUCAUUUGUAUCCACUGUAUGCAAAUGCUGCUAAGGAGUUCCAAGGAAUUGUGUAAGCGGGCAGGGAAGUCGGCCCUUAGCUACGAGGAGACAGCGGAGGCGGCCUUCAGGUUGGGUCCUGAAGGGUGCCGUAAGUGGGCCAACACCGUCAGAUACAUCAUCACAACCUUCCUCAUCAUCACCCAGGUCGGCUUCUGCUGCGUCUAUGCCGUCUUCAUCCCCCAAAAUCUGAUGCAGGCUAUCGAGUGUAUGUUACCGAGCGGGAGCAGUAUCUCGGUAUAUGGUUAUAUGGGGAUUAUAAUAUUACCAAUCCUUCUCAUCUGUUACAUCCCUAACCUCAAGUACCUAGCACCGGUGUCGCUCAUGGCUGGGGCUGUCCAGAUAAUAGGCAUCACCAUCUGCUUCUACUACAUGUUGAGAGAUCUGCCACACGUCCAGGAAGAGCUGCCUGCCUUUGCCGGAUUUUCCACCCUCCCUCUAUACUUCGGCUCAGCUAUCUACGCCUUUGAGGGCAUUGGAUUGGUUUUACCACUGGAAAACAAGAUGAAAACACCUCAAGCUUUUGGCGGAUGGACGGGAGUGUUGAAUACAGCUAUGGUGAUUGUGGUGUGUUUCUACGCAGGCGUGGGGUUCUUUGGUUACCUCAGAUAUGGAAGUUUUGUACAAGGUUCCAUCACUCUCAACCUACCACCUAGUGAACCGUUAUCGCAGACGGUGAAGAUCUUAAUGGCUUUGGCGGUCUACAUGACAUACCCUCUACAGAUGUACGUCCCUUACGAGGUGCUGCGGCCAACUGUGACGCGGAGGUUCACCACACACAAGGGCAAGAUGGUGGCCGAGUACAUCUUUAGGUCCUGCAUGGUGUUCUUGACCUUCGUCUUAGCAGCAGCCAUCCCCAACAUUGGAUUGUUUAUAUCUCUGGUGGGGGCAGUCAGCAGUUCCACCCUGGCCCUCAUCUUCCCUCCCAUCGUCGAAAUAGUGACCUUCUGGCCAAAUACAGGGAAAUACAACUGGCGCAUCAUCAAGGGUGCCCUCAUCUGCCUGUUUGGGUUGGUCGGCUUCGUAGCAGGAACCAUCACCAGUGUUGAAUCCAUCAUCGACUUCUUCAUGAACGGCCAGCAGCAGCCUUCCUACGAGUGUUAAAUAUGUGACUCCACUCUAUGGCCAUUUGAGUCAGAUGUAUGGCCCUUUGAGUCAGAUGUAUGGCCCUUUGAGUCAGAUAUAUGGCCCAUUGAGUAAAAUCUAUGGCACCUGACUCAAAUUUAUGGUCCCCCUGACUCAAAUCUAUGGCCCCCUGACUCAAAUCUAUGGCUACUUGGCUCAAAUCUAUGGCUACUUGGCUCAAAUCUAUAGCUCCCUGACUCAAAUCCUUGUCAUAUAACUGUCAUGUAACUGUCAUAUAACUGUCAUGCAUUUCCCCUUCUAUACUAUCAACACAAAGCUUAAGGGUUAUUGGUUUCACUUAGUGUGUGUGUGUGUGUGUGUGUGUGUGUGUGUGUGUGUGUGUGUGUGUGUGUGUGUGUGUGUGGGUGUGUGUG